rnacentral:lncRNA from 10 species
CGUCCGCGCGCCGGCGAGGCGAGGCGGCCGGGCCCUGCGCGUCAGGCCUGAGACCUGGGAGGAAGCUGGAGAAAAGAUGCCCUCUGAAUCUUUCUGUUUGGCUGCCCAGGCUCGCCUCGACUCCAAAUGGUUGAAAACAGAUAUACAGGUAUUGAGUGUUGGUAGAUAUGAGAGUCCAGUGUUUAGAGCUGUGUUGCGUGGCCGGGCGCAGUGGCUCACGCCUGUAAUCCCGGCAGUUUGGGAGGCCGAGGCGGGUGGAUGCCCUGAGGUCAGGAGUUGGAGACCAGCCUGACCAACAUGGUGAAACCCCGUCUCUACUAAAAAUACAAAAUUAGCCAGGCGUGGUGGUGUAUGCCUGUAAUCCCAGCCACUCGGGAGGCUGAGGCAGGAGAAUCGCUUGAACCCGGGAGGUGGAGGUUGCAAUGGGUCAAGAUCAUGCCAUUGCACUCCAGCCUGGACAAUGAGAGCAAAACUGUUUCAAAAAAAAAAAA